AUUGAACGCUGGCGGCAUGCCUUACACAUGCAAGUCGAACGGCAGCACGGGUGCUUGCACCUGGUGGCGAGUGGCGAGCGGGUGAGUAAUACAUCGGAACGUACCUUAUCGUGGGGGAUAACGCAGCGAAAGCUGUGCUAAUACCGCAUACGCCCUGAGGGGGAAAGCGGGGGAUCGCAAGACCUCGCGCGAUUAGAGCGGCCGAUGCCUGAUUAGCUUGUUGGUGGGGUAAAAGCCCACCAAGGCAACGAUCAGUAGCUGGGCUGAGAGGACGAUCAGCCAAGCUGGGACUACGACACGGCUCAGACUCCUACGGGAGGCAGCAGUGGGGAAUUUUGGACAAUGGGGGCAACCCUGAUCCAGCAAUGCCGCGUGAGUGAAGAAGGCCUUCGGGUUGUAAAGCUCUUUUGUCAGGGAAGAAACACCGGCUCUAACACAGUCCGGGAAUGACGGUACCUGAAGAAUAAGCACCGGCUAACUACGUGCCAGCCGCCGCAGUAA
rnacentral:rRNA from 1 species